rnacentral:rRNA from 1 species
GACGAACGCUGGCGGCGUGCUUAACACAUGCAAGUCGAACGGUAAGGCCCCUUCGGGGGUCCACGAGUGGCGCACGGGUGAGUAACACGUGAGCAACCUGCCCUUGACUCUGGAAUAACAGUUGGAAACAGCUGCUAAUACUGGAUAUUCAUCGUCUCCUUCCUGGGGGGUGGUGGAAAGCUCCGGCGGUCAGGGAUGGGCUCGCGGCCUAUCAGCUUGUUGGUGAGGUAAUGGCUCACCAAGGCUUCGACGGGUAGCCGGCCUGAGAGGGCGACCGGCCACACUGGGACUGAGAUACGGCCCAGACUCCUACGGGAGGCAGCAGUGGGGAAUAUUGCACAAUGGGCGCAAGCCUGAUGCAGCAACGCCGCGUGCGGGAUGACGGCCUUCGGGUUGUAAACCGCUUUCAGUAGGGACGAAGGGUGACUGACGGUACCUACAGAAGAAGGACCGGCUAACUACGUG